rnacentral:sRNA from 1 species
CGCCCUGGAAAACGCCCUCUGCGGUGAAGGAGAGACAGUGGAGAUGCACCCUGCCUACACCGAGGAAGAGCUGAGGCGCUUUGAAGAGGAGCUGGCUGCCCGGGAGGCAGAGCUGAAUGCCAAGGCCCAGCGCCUCAGCCAGGAGACAGAGGCUCUAGGGCGGUCCCAGGGCCGCCUGGAGGCCCAGAAGAGAGAGCUGCAGCAGGCUGUGCUGCACAUGGAGCAGCGGAAGCAGCAGCAGCAGCAGCAGCAAGGCCACAAGGCCCCGGCUGCCCACCCUGAGGGGCAGCUCAAGUUCCACCCAGACACAGACGAUGUACCUGUCCCAGCUCCAGCCGGUGACCAGAAGGAGGUGGACACUUCAGAAAAGAAACUUCUCGAGCGGCUCCCUGAGGUUGAGGUGCCCCAGCAUCUGUGAUCCUCCGGGACCCCAGCCCUCAGGAUUCCUGAUGCUCCAAGGAGACUGAUGGGCGCUGGAUGAAGUGGCACAGUCAGCUUCCCUGGGGGCCGGUGUCAUGUUGGGCUCCUGGGGCGGGGGCACGGCCUGGCAUUUCAUGCACUGCUGCCACCCCAGGUCCACCUGUCUCCACUUUCACAGCCUCCAAGUCUGUGACUCUUCCCUUCUGUCCUCUGAGGGGCUUGCCUUCUCUCGUGUCCAGUGAGGUGCUCAGUGAUCGGCUUAACUUAGGGAAGCCCGCCCCCUCCCCUUCUCCGUCUGUCCCAAGAGGGUCUGCUCUGAGCCUGCGUUCCUAGGUGGCUCGGCCUCAGCUGCCUGGGUUGUGGCCGCCCUAGCAUCCUGUAUGCCCACAGCUACUGGAAUCCCCGCUGCUGCUCCGGGCCAAGCUUCUGGUUGAUUAAUGAGGGCAUGGGGUGGUCCCUCAAGACCUUCCCCUACCUUUUGUGGAACCAGUGAUGCCUCAAAGACAGUGUCCCCUCCA